rnacentral:misc_RNA from 1 species
UUAAAAUUAAACAGAAAAAAAAUGUGCAGGUGGCAUGAGUGAGAGAAGAAGAAGAGAGAAGAAAAGAAGAAAAAAAAAUUACACAAUACAAUUACAAAACAUAGGAAGUCAACAUCCAUUUCCACCAUACAAGAAAUUCAUCUGCGAAAGAUUCAUCAUGGAUCAAUCUCAAAUCCAAAAGUCAAGAACCAACCAAAACCAACCUAAGUAUUAGUUUAAACAUGACAACAAGGAAUAACAGUAUGAAGUUUUCAUUAGAAGAAAUAACAAGACAAUUUGAAUAGACUAGGAAACCCAUUUAUCACAAUGAACACAGUGCAAUAUAAAAUACCCAUAGACAUCAACAAUUACAUGAAUUCUUAAUCAAAAUAACUGAAACAAAACUAGAAACAGAUUUUAUUUUCACCUAAAACCCAGAUAGAACAAGUAAUCUGAGCAUGAAGAAAUGAAGUGGAAAUUUGGACAAGUUGCAAUGCCUCAUCUGCCUUUAGUAGCAUGUUGGCAGAAUGACAAAUGUGAUAGAGAUUCAGUGUUGCAUCCAAUAUAGAGGGAUUGAUUUGUUGAUUCAAUUUGGGUGAUAUGGACAGAACCAAAGCCGCAAACGAGGAGAACAAGGUUAUACCGAUUCUUUUUGUGGUGCAAAGAUUUGAAAUAGGGGUUAUGAGUGAAGAGAAUCAUGGGUUUUAUGGGAGCUCAACUAUUGUUAUGUGAGAGAGGAGUGAUUCAAGAUCAAGGAAGCAUGGGUCACAGGUUCUGCAAGAAGAGGAAAGCAGGGAUGUCAUUUUGGAGUUAAAGUGGAGUGGCUUUUGUGAGGAAGGACUUUG